GCUAGGGUUAGGGUUAGGGUUAGGGUUGGAGCUAGGGUUAGGGUUAGGGUUAGGGUUGGAGCUAGGGUUAGGGUUAGGGUUGGAGUUAGGGUUAGUGUUGGAGCUAGGGUUAGGGUUGGGCUUGGAGCUAGGAUUUUUCUGAGUGCAAUGAACCAACUCCCGAGUCUCUAGGACGUUCCUAAAAAAAAUUGAUUUUUUUCCCAUAGGAAUGCAUGGGUUAGGGUUAGGGUUAGGGUUGGAGCUAGGGUUAGGGUUAGGGUUAGGGUUGGAGUAAGGGUUAGUGUUGGAGCUAGGGUUAGGGUUGGGCUUGGAGCUAGGAUUUUUCUGAGUGCAAUGAACCAACUCCCGAGUCUCUAGGACGUUCCUAAAAAAAAUAGAUUUUUUCCCAUAGGAAUGCAUGGGUUAGGGUUAGGGUUAGGGUUGGAGCUAGGGUUAGGGUUAGGGUUAGGGUUGGAGUUAGGGUUAGUGUUGGAGCUAGGGUUAGGGUUAGGGUUAGGGUUGGAGUUAGGGUUUGUGUUGGAGCUAGGGUUAGGGUUGGGCUUGGAGCUAGGAUUUUUCUGAGUGCAAUGAACCAACUCCCGAGUCUCUAGGACGUUCCUAAAAAAAUUUGAUUUUUUCCCAUAGGAAUGCAUGGGUUAGGGUUAGGGUUAGGGUUGGAGCUAGGGUUAGGGUUAGGGUUGGAGUUAGGGUUAGUGUUGGAGCUAGGGUUAGGGUUGGGCUUGGAGCUAGGAUUUUUCUGAGUGCAAUGAACCAACUCCCGAGUCUCUAGGACGUUCCUAAAAAAAAUUGAUUUUUUCCCAUAGGAAUGCAUGGGUUAGGGUUAGGGUUAGUGUUGGAGCUAGGGUUAGGGUUAGGGUUAGGGUUGGAGUUAGGGUUAGUGUUGGAGCUAGCGUUAGGGUUGGGCUUGGAGCUAGGAUUUUUCUGAGUGCAAUGAACCAACUCCCGAGUCUCUAGGACGUUCCUAAAAAAAAUUGAUUUUUUCCCAUAGGAAUGCAUGGGUUAGGGUUAGGGUUAGAGUUGGAGCUAGGGUUAGGGUUAGGGUUAGGGUUGGGUUAGGGUUAGUGCCAACCCAAUUUUUCACCUUCCAGAAUUGUGUUAGGAGCACGUUUCACGGCACGGGGAGUCUAUAUAACCUAAUUCUGGGGGAAGUUUUUUGAAAAGUUUACUUAGGGUUUGGGUUAGGGUUAGGGUUGGAGCUAGGGUUAAGGUUGGAGCUAGGGUUAGGGUUAGGGUUAGGAUUAGGGUGGAGCUAGGGUUAGGGUUAGGGUUGGAGUUAGGGUUAGGGUUGGGGCUAUGGUUAGGGUUAAGGUUGGAGCUAGGGUUAGGGUUAGGGUUAGGGUUGGAGCUAGGGUUAGGGUUAGGGUUGGAGCUAGGGUUAGGGUUAGGGUUAGGGUUGGAGUUAGGGUUAGUGUUGGAGCUAGGGUUAGGGUUGGGCUUGGAGCUAGGAUUUUUCUGAGUGCAAUGAACCAACUCCCGAGUCUCUAGGACGUUCCUAAAAAAAAUUUUUUUUUUCCCAUAGGAAUGCAUGGGUUAGGGUUAGGGUUAGGGUUGGAGCUAGGGUUAGGGUUAGGGUUAGGGUUGGAGUUAGGGUUAGUGUUGGAGCUAGGGUUAGGGUUGGGCUUGGAGCUAGGAUUUUUCUGAGUGCAAUGAACCAACUCCCGAGUCUCUAGGACGUUCCUAAAAAAAUUGAUUUUUUCCCAUAGGAAUGCAUGGGUUAGGGUUAGGGUUAGGGUUGGAGCUAGGGUUAGGGUUAGGGUUAGGGUUGGAGUUAGGGUUAGUGUUGGAGCUAGGGUUAGGGUUAGGGUUAGGGUUGGAGUUAGGGUUUGUGUUGGAGCUAGGGUUAGGGUUGGGCUUGGAGCUAGGAUUUUUCUGAGUGCAAUGAACCAACUCCCGAGUCUCUAGGACGUUCCUAAAAAAAUUUGAUUUUUUCCCAUAGGAAUGCAUGGGUUAGGGUUAGGGUUAGGGUUGGAGCUAGGGUUAGGGUUAGGGUUGGAGUUAGGGUUAGUGUUGGAGCUAGGGUUAGGGUUGGGCUUGGAGCUAGGAUUUUUCUGAGUGCAAUGAACCAACUCCUGAGUCUCUAGGACGUUCCUAAAAAAAUUUGAUUUUUUCCCAUAGGAAUGCAUGGGUUAGGGUUAGGGUUAGGGUUGGAGCUAGGGUUAGGGUUAGGGUUAGGGUUGGGUUAGGGUUAGUGCCAACCCAAUUUUUCACCUUCCAGAAUAGUGUUAGGAGCACGUUUCAGGGCACGGGGAGUCUAUAGAACCUAAUUCUGGGGGAAGUUUUUUGAAAGGUUUACUUAGGGUUAGGGUUGGAGCUAGGGUUAAGGUUGGAGCUAGGGUUAGGGUUAGGGUUAGGAUUAGGGUGGAGCUAGGGUUAGGGUUAGGGUUAGAGCUAGGGUUAGGGUUGGGGCUAGGGUUAGGGUUAGGGUUAAGGUUGGAGCUAGGGUUAGGGUUAGGGUUAGGGUUGGAGCUAGGGUUAGGGUUAGGGUUAGGGUUGGAGCUAGGGUUAGGGUUAGGGUUAGGGUUGGAGUUAGGGUUAGUGUUGGAGCUAGGGUUAGGGUUGGGCUUGGAGCUAGGAUUUUUCUGAGUGCAAUGAACCAACUCCCGAGUCUCUAGGACGUUCCUAAAAAAAUUUGAUUUUUUUCCCCAUAGGAAUGCAUGGGUUAGGGUUAGGGUUAGGGUUGGAGCUAGGGUUAGGGUUAGGGUUAGGGUUGGAGUAAGGGUUAGUGUUGGAGCUA